rnacentral:rRNA from 1 species
UGGGCGUAAGCGCGCGCAGGUGGUUUCUUAAGUCUGAUGUGAAAGCCCACGGCUCAACCGUGGAGGGUCAUUGGAAACUGGGAGACUUGAGUGCAGAAGAGGAAAGUGGAAUUCCAUGUGUAGCGGUGAAAUGCGUAGAGAUAUGGAGGAACACCAGUGGCGAAGGCGACUUUCUGGUCUGUAACUGACACUGAGGCGCGAAAGCGUGGGGAGCAAACAGGAUUAGAUACCCUGGUAGUCCACGCCGUAAACGAUGAGUGCUAAGUGUUAGAGGGUUUCCGCCCUUUAGUGCUGAAGUUAACGCAUUAAGCACUCCGCCUGGGGAGUACGGCCGCAAGGCUGAAACUCAAAGGAAUUGACGGGGGCCCGCACAAGCGGUGGAUCAUGUGGUUUAAUUCGAAGCAACGCGAAGAACCUUACCAUGUCUUGACCUCCUCUGA